rnacentral:rRNA from 1 species
AUUGAACGCUGGCGGCAUGCCUUACACAUGCAAGUCGAACGGUAACAGGUCUUCGGAUGCUGACGAGUGGCGAACGGGUGAGUAAUACAUCGGAACGUGCCCGAUCGUGGGGGAUAACUACUCGAAAGAGUAGCUAAUACCGCAUACGAUCUACGGAUGAAAGCGGGGGAUCUUCGGACCUCGUGCGGACGGAGCGGCCGAUGGCAGAUUAAGUAGUUGGUGGGAUAAAAGCUUACCAAGCCGACGAUCUGUAGCUGGUCUGAGAGGACGACAGCCACACUGGGACUGAGACACGGCCCAGACUCCUACGGGAGGCAGCAGUGGUGAAUUUUGGACAAUGGGCGAAAGCCUGAUCCAGCAAUGCCGCGUGCAGGAUGAAGGCCUUCGGGUUGUAAACUGCUUUUGUACGGAACGAAAAGACUCCUUCUAAUACAGGGGGUCCAUGACGGUACCGUAAGAAUAAGCACCGGCUAACUACGUGCCAGCCGCCGCCGUAAUAC